UAGUAUUAAAUCUUAAUAAGAAUUAAAUUGUAAAUUUAAAAAUUGAAAAUUAAAAUUUUUCUAAUACUAA
rnacentral:tRNA from 1 species